rnacentral:rRNA from 1 species
CACCUCUAGCAUUUCCAGUAUUAGAGGCACUGCCUGCCCAGUGACAUCUGUUUAAACGGCCGCGGUAUCCUAACUGUGCAAAGGUAGCAUAAUCACUUGUUCCCUAAAUAGGGACUUGUAUGAAUGGCCACACGAGGGUUUUACUGUCUCUUACUUCCAAUCAGUGAAAUUGACCUUCCCGUGAAGAGGCGGGAAUGACUAAAUAAGACGAGAAGACCCUAUGGAGCUUUAAUUAACUGAUUCACAAAAAACAACACACAAACCUAACCUUCAGGGACAACAAAACUUUUGAUUGAAUCAGCAAUUUCGGUUGGGGUGACCUCGGAGAACAAAACAACCUCCGAGUGAUUUAAAUCCAGACUAACCAGUCAAAAUAUAUAAUCACUUAUUGAUCCAAACCAUUGAUCAACGGAACAAGUUACCCUAGGGAUAACAGCGCAAUCCUAUUCCAGAGUCCAUAUCGACAAUUAGGGUUUACGACCUCGAUGUUGGAUCAAGACAUCCUAAUGGUGCAACCGCUAUUAAGGGUUCGUUUGUUCAACGAUUAAAGUCUU